GAUGAACGCUGGCGGCGUGCCUAAUACAUGCAAGUCGAGCGAACAGACGAGGAGCUUGCUCCUCUGACGUUAGCGGCGGACGGGUGAGUAACACGUGGAUAACCUACCUAUAAGACUGGGAUAACUUCGGGAAACCGGAGCUAAUACCGGAUAAUAUAUUGAACCGCAUGGUUCAUUAGUGAAAGACGGUUUUGCUGUCACUUAUAGAUGGAUCCGCGCCGCAUUAGCUAGUUGGUGAGGUAACGGCUUACCAAGGCUACGAUGCGUAGCCGACCUGAUAGGGUGAUCGGCCACACUGGAACUGAGACACGGUCCAGACGCCUACGGGAGGCAGCAGUAGGGAAUCUGCCGCAAUGGGCGAAAGCCUGACGGAGCAACGCCGCGUGAGUGAUGAAGGUCUUCGGAUCGUAAAACUCUGUUAUGAGGGAAGAACAAAUGUGUAAGUAACUAUGCACGUCUUGACGGUACCUAAUCAGAAAGCAACGGCUAACUACGUG
rnacentral:rRNA from 1 species